GAUGAACGCUGGCGGCGUGCCUAAUACAUGCAAGUCGAGCGAACAGAUGAGUAGCUUGCUCCUCUGACGUUAGCGGCGGACGUGUUAGUAACACGUGGAUAACCUACCUAUAAGACUGGGAUAACUUCGGGAAACCGGAGCUAAUACCGGAUAAUAUAUUGAACCGCAUGGUUCAAUAGUGAAAGACGGUUUUGCUGUCACUUAUAGAUGGAUCCGCGCCGCAUUAGCUAGUUGGUAAGGUAACGGCUUACCAAGGCAACGAUGCGUAGCCGACCUGAGAGGGUGAUCGGCCACACUGGAACUGAGACACGGUCCAGACUCCUACGGGAGGCAGCAGUAGGGAAUCUUCCGCAAUGGGCGAAAGCCUGACGGAGCAACGCCGCGUGAGGGAUGAAGGUCUUCGGAUCGUAAAACGCUGUUAUUAGGGAAGAACAAAUGUGUAAGUAAAUAUGCACGUCUUGACGGUACCGAAUCAGAAAGCAACGGCUAACUACGUG
rnacentral:rRNA from 1 species